rnacentral:rRNA from 1 species
CAGCAGCCGCGGUAAUACGUAGGGCGCAAGCGUUAUCCCGGAAUUAUUGGGGCGUAAAGAGCUCGUAGGCGGUUUGUUCGCGUCUGCCGUGAAAGUCCGGGGCUCAACUCCGGAUCUGCGGUGGGUACGGGCAGACUAGAGUGAUGUAGGGGAGACUGGAAUUCCUGGUGUAGCGGUGAAAUGCGCAGAUAUCAGGAGGAACACCGAUGGCGAAGGCAGGUCUCUGGGCAUUAACUGACGCUGAGGAGCGAAAGCAUGGGGAGCGAACAGGAUUAGAUACCCUGGUAGUCCAUGCCGUAAACGUUGGGCACUAGGUGUGGGGGACAUUCCACGUUUUCCGCGCCGUAGCUAACGCAUUAAGUGCCCCGCCUGGGGAGUACGGCCGCAAGGCUAAAACUCAAAGGAAUUGACGGGGGCCCGCACAAGCGGCGGAGCAUGCGGAUUAAUUCGAUGCAACGCGAAGAACCUUACCAAGGCUUGACAUGGACCGGAUCGCCGCAGAAAUGUGGUUUCUCCUUUGGGGCCGGUUCACAGGUGGUGCAUGGUUGUCGUCAGCUCGUGUCGUGAGAUGUUGGGUUAAGUCCCGCAACGAGCGCAACCCUCGUUCCAUGUUGCCAGCGCGUAAUGGCGGGGACUCAUGGGAGACUGCCGGGGUCAACUCGGAGGAAGGUGGGGACGACGUCAAAUCAUCAUGCCCCUUAUGUCUUGGGCUUCACGCAUGCUACAAUGGCCGGUACAAAGGGUUGCGAUACUGUGAGGUGGAGCUAAUCCCAAAAAGCCGGUCUCAGUUCGGAUUGGGGUCUGCAACUCGACCCCAUGAAGUCGGAGUCGCUAGUAAUCGCAGAUCAGCAACGCUGCGGUGAAUACGUUCCCGGGCCUUGUACACACCGCCCGUCAAGUCACGAAAGUUGGUAACACCCGAAGCCCGUGGCCUAACCCCUUGUGGGAGGGAGCCGUCGAAGUGGGACUGGCGAUUGGGACUAAGUCGUAACAAGGUAACCUC